rnacentral:rRNA from 1 species
GGGUCCGCACAAGCGGUGGAGCAUGUGGUUUAAUUCGAUAAUACGCGAGGAACCUUACCUAGGCUAGAAUGCGAGUGACAUCCAGAGAGAUCUGGAGUUCUUCGGACACAAAGCAAGGUGCUGCAUGGUUGUCGUCAGCUCGUGCCGUGAGGUGUUGGGUUAAGUCCCGCAACGAGCGCAACCCCUGUUUUAGUUGCCAGCAAGUAAUGUUGGGGACUCUAGAAAGACUGCCUGCGUAAGCAGAGAGGAAGGAGGGGACGACGUCAAAUCAGCAUGGCCCUUAUGCCUAGGGCUACACACGUGCUACAAUGGCGUAUACAAAGGGUAGCGAACCAGUGAUGGUAAGCCAAUCUCUAAAAGUACGUCUCAGUUCGGAUUGAAGUCUGCAACUCGACUUCAUG